UAAAAGUCGUAACAAGGUCUCCGUAGGUGAACCUGCGGAGGGAUCAUUA
rnacentral:rRNA from 2 species